rnacentral:rRNA from 1 species
AAGAAAGUAAAUAAGAGCGCAUGGUAAAUGCCUUGGCUCUCAGAGGCGAUGAAGGACGUGACAAGCUGCGAUAAGCAACGGGGAGGAGCAAAUAUCCGAUAUAUCCGUUGAUUU